AGAGCUUCAUGCCGACAAGUGGUCUGAGAAGGUGAGGUGGCUGUCUGAAUUGGUGUCUCAGAGCAAAGCGUCUUAUAGCAACUCAGCUGAGCCUUUGUGUUUUUCGCCGCUGCCAAUCAGGCCGCCUCCGGAAUGGGAUGAGCAUCUGAGGUGCCCCAGGCAGUGGCAGCGGCAGGGCCUGAUGUUUGAGCGAGCAAGGAGCAGAUGAUGAAGAGGAACGCUGUGACUGCAGGAUUGUUCCAGUUGAGCCAUGCGAUACGAGCUGCUUUGGCCAUGGACAGCUUCAGUCACAGUCUUCUGAAAGCUGAGUUGAGGAACCGGGACUGGGAGAGGGGAGAGAGGGGAGUAGGUUGGGCGUGGCAGGGAGGGGGUUGAAAGGUAACACAGGGGAGAGGGCCGUGCAGCGGGAGUCCCGUUUGGGCGGGUAAAGGCAGAGGGGCCUGCUUCUCAGUCCAAAACUAGCACGGGCUGGGCAGUUGCAGCCCGUGUCUGUUGUCGUCCUGUUUCUGUAGUCCGUGUGCCCCGUCUCGUAGUUUUGUGCAGGUGUCUGUCUUCUUUGCACUCAAGGCAUGCCGGAUGUGCCUUGGGCUCCAUGUCUAGGGUGCCGAAUGCUUGUACUCAUCGAUGCAGUGUCGAUCGGGCACCACUGUUCUUGUGUCGCAAUCCUAAAGUGAGAAUCGGUCUUGUGUUUCGGAAGUUUGUGGCCAGAUGUCUCUUUUUGCUGCGGCCUUGCAGCCUGCGUCGGCUUCUGCGAUCGCUAGUUGUCUGUUUUCUUGGAUCCCUAUUCUGUAACUUGUUCCGUUUCUGUGCGUCCUCUGCGUCUUUAGGUCUUAAAAUGGGGCUUCCUGCCCUUUUCUGUUGUCAUCUCGUUUUUGUAGUCUGUGCGCCAUGUCUCAUAGUUUUCUUCAGGUCUUGAUGUCUUCUUUGUGCUCAAGGCAUGCUGGACGUGCCUUGGGCUCCAUGUCUAGGGUGCCGAAGGCUUAUACUUUUCAAUGCAGUGUUGGUCAAGCACUGCUUUUGUUGCAUUGCAAUCAUAAAGCGGGGAUCGGUCUCGUGUUUCGGGAGUUUGCUGUCAGAUGUCUCUAUUGCUGUAGCCUUUCAGCCUGUGUCGGCAUUCGCGAUUGGUCGUCCUGCUUUUUGUUGGAUCCCUGUUCUGGGCCUCGUUCUGUGCGUCCUCUUUGUCUUUAGGUUUUAAAAUGGUGCUUCCUGCUACUUCACGCUCCCAGUUGUGGCCACGUCUCUUAGUAUUGAGCCACGGUCGUUCACUUUUCCAGGGCUGUAGAUUCUUCCUCGUAGCCCUGUAUGUCGUCUUGCCCUGUGGGCACGUCUUGUCCGGGAGUCAUUUUUUUUAGCAUGAGUUUUCUUUAGUCCCAUGUUCACGGCCUGGGUGUCGCGUGUGGUGGUGUUCUGUGUGUGUUUUGUAUCUGGCUGGAGCUGGUCUGCCUGAUGCAUAGAGGUGAUGACAGUCAGCAGAGGUAUCACGGCAGGAUUCUGCGGCGAACAUGCCGAUAUGCCUAAACCUUGCAGUCUAGGGGCGUAGAGUACGUUGCUGAAGAAGUAGCCCUAGGUGUCACUGGGCGACAUGCCUUCGUCACCAUUGGUGAGUGAAAGCAGACAAGGGGGGUUGGGAGUGUUCGUUAGAGGUUGAUGUGAUUUGCCUUGAGGACAUUGGAAGCCGAUAACUAAGCAGUCAGCUAGCAGAAGUUUUCUGGUAUGUGGGUUGUUGGAACACAGUAAGGUGGUGGCAUUUGCUUCAGGAGUUUGAAAACAGCCCCAGGAGAUGGAGUUUGCGCAAAGUUCAAAAAAGAAAAAUUUUCCUCCCUAAGUAGACUUCCUGCUUGAUCUGUAAGACCCGGGUCCCCAACCAUCAGGAGCCACUACACAGGCCUGAGACUAGGGUGAACUUUUCACAAUAAGUAUAAUACGAAGUAGGUAUAGGGGAGGAGUAUGUAGUAGGCGCUUAGAGCUGUGCAAGUCUUUAUGGUAGAAUUAGCUGCUUGUUAAGCUACCCGGUGUGCAAGCUAGGAGGAGAACCCCCUUGCACCCCAGCACCAGAAACAAACAUUCCUGCUUUCUAAGUCAUUUUGGGUUAUAGGGUUUGAUUCCGCCAAGUAAUUUGGCACCCGAGAUGGGACACCCUCUCUGCCCGGCUGCAGGAUCGGUGGGGAGUGGGACGUUCUAAGGCGCGCCCCGGUAAGCUAUUUUUCCGGAGAACCUCCCAUCUCUACCCGAUCGCUGCGGGGGGAGAGACGGCCCAUCAGCGGGCGGACCAGGUAUGUGAUUUGCGUAUGGUAUGGCAGGAUAAUUUGGUUUUGCCUGCAGGGUAGUAGCGGGGGGGACGAGUCUGUAAAUGGUGGAUGGGACGCCUCACUUGGUGACGAAGGGUUAGGGUCGCUUUGCUGAGACCCCAUCAGUCCAUGAGGGGGGAUACGUGUGCCCUAGUUGCGCAGGAUGACGAGGUGGCUCUGCCUGACCUUUGGUAACAUAGCGAAUUUGCUGUUGUGGUGUUGUAUGGGUGCUCCUUGCUACAAUAGCAGAGCACCGGGGAAACCAUAACCCCAAGAUUCUUUUUAGACUGAGACGUGCAUUGAGGGAUUGUGGUGUAAUACCAAGAUUUUUGUUAGACCGAGACGCGGAGUGAGGGAUUAUGGCAUUCUAGAUAAGAUCAUGUUAUCGUAUAAUAUUAUUAGGAAUUGAGCUCUCUUUGCUGAGGAAGCAGGAGUGCUACAUAUUUGAUAGCUAUCCUCUUCUACAGGUGUUGCAAAGUUUCAGUCUCUGUACCGUGUAUAUUUUAACAUCGCUAAGAGCUCAUUUUAAACUUUCCUAUGUUGUGGAGUGUUUGUAUGCACGUGCGUGGUUGCUUGAGACGCGCAAUGGAGCGUGAAGCGAGUGCGGAGUUCUGAUCCGCGGUUCUGCUCUCUUGUGAAGGAAGCAGGCAGAGAUGAACGAAGCGAGUGAUUGGUGCUAAUGUUUUAUGUCCUACGUAUACUCUGUGAAUUGUUUGAUGUAGAACGGAUUACCUGCCGACUUGAGAGGGAUAGCUUACUGGAGGAUGUUGUUGCUCGGAGGUGGACUGAGCUCAAAAUGGUGAAAGAGUUGUGAAUUGUUGAGAAGUACUGUUUGUCUUGAUCCUAGAAAUGCAGCCAUGAAGCCUUUUGAUUCGAAACGUCUAUUGAGCUGGGUAUAUUUAUGUUGGACCUUUGGAAUGGAAGGCUGCAAGGGAUGGGAUUUUAAAAAAUCUUGCACAGGAAAAGGGUAAAAAAAAAAAAAAAAAAAAGACCACAAUGGGAGAAGCGGCUGUGAGUGCCCCUCCCUUUUGCCCCUUUCUUGGUAUGCCAGUCAUGUGAGUUUUGUCCUGUGUGUGUCGGUUAACCCUUCCCCUCCUGGAAUGUUUGUUAAGUGGUCAGUGUGAGAACUAGGAAUAAUUUGCAUGUGUAAAACCAAAAUGUUUGUCUGGAUGGGGGUGGGUGGUGGGGGAGCAAAAUUCUUCAGGCUGUAUGAAUGGAUUGGAUUUGGUCUUUGGAUUGCUGUGAAGUUUUAUUGUGAUAGUCAGCUAGGUUGGGAUCCCUCUAUUUUCUUGAGUGUCUGUAAUCUGUAGAUGGGCAUUGUUGUUGUUGCUAGUCUUGUGGGAAGUCCCUGAGAACUUAGAGGCAGGACAUUUGUACGUGUUCAAAUGCUUCGUGCAAGUUGGAGAAAGGCAGAGCUGGAUGGUAGUAUAAUGGAGGCAAAAUCGAGCAAGACUUUAUUUGGCCAAGCCCAUUAGGAUGCAUAUUCCAGCACUGGAAGGAUUUGGCCGGGGGUAGCUAGAGGCUCAAUGAGUAAGAAGAGGAUUCCAGUACUGUUUUGCAACUAAUGUUGUUUUUAAAGCGAGGGAAGGUGGAAUGAAGUGUUUUUCGCUCUCUGAGACUGUGUGGAGUGGCAAAGGGACAGUGGGGUGUCGCAGCAGCAUCUGCAGUUGUUAGCCACCCCUUUUCAUAGAUCCUUGUUCCGUGCAUCCUCUGUGCCUUUAUGUUUUAAAAUGGGCCUUUUUGAACAUUCAUCCUUCUAGGAGCGGACGUAUGUCUUUGUAAUGAGAUGUUUUCCUUCAAAUUUCCUGGGCUGCCACGGAUUUUUCCUUGUAGCCCUGUAUGUCAUCUUGCCCUA